rnacentral:rRNA from 1 species
UAGGAGCCGAUGAAGGACGGGACUAACACCGAUAUGCUUUGGGGAGCUGUAAGUAAGCUAUGAUCCAGAGAUUUCCGAAUGGGGGAACCCAAUAUCUUUUAUAGGAUAUUACUUUUCAGUGAAUACAUAGCUGAUUAGAGGUAGACGCAGAGAACUGAAACAUCUUAGUACCUGCAGGAAGAGAAAGAAAAUUCGAUUCCCUGAGUAGCGGCGAGCGAAACGGGAAGAGCCCAAACCAACAAGCUUGCUUGUUGGGGUUGUAGGACUCCAAUAUGGUAGUCUGUUAGUAUAGUUGAAGGAUUUGGAAAAUUCCGCUAAAGAGGGUGA